GGGGAAUUUUCCGCAAUGGGCGAAAGCCUGACGGAGCAAUACCGCGUGCGGGAGGAAGGCCCUUGGGUCGUAAACCGCUUUUAACAGGGAAGAAGAUCUGACGGUACCUGUUGAAUAAGCCUCGGCUAACUCCGUGCCAGCAGCCGCGGUAAGACGGAGGAGGCAAGCGUUAUCCGGAAUUAUUGGGCGUAAAGCGUCCGCAGGUGGCCUAUCAAGUCUGUUGUUAAAGCCCAGGGCUCAACUCUGGAUCAGCAAUGGAAACUGAAAGGCUAGAGUACGGUAGGGGUAGAGGGAAUUCCCAGUGUAGCGGUGAAAUGCGUAGAUAUUGGGAAGAACACCAGUGGCGAAGGCGCUCUGCUGGGCCGUAACUGACACUCAUGGACGAAAGCUAGGGGAGCG
rnacentral:rRNA from 1 species